rnacentral:tRNA from 1 species
ACACCAAUAGUGUAGCGGUAUCAUUCUACCCUCCCAAGGUAUAGACCCGGAUUCGACUUCCGAUUGGUGCA